GAUGGAGACAGGUUCUAACCUACUGUCACAGGACGGGGACAGGUUCUAACGUCCUGUGACAGGACGGGGACAGGUUCUAACGUCCUGUGACAGGAUGGGGACAGGAUCUAACUUCCUGUGACAGGACGGGGACAGGUUCUAACGUCCUGUGGCAGGAUGGGGACAGGUUCUAACGUCCUGUGACAGGACGGGGACAGGUUCUAACUUCCUGUACAAGGAUGGAGACAGGUUCUAACGUCCUGUGGCAGGAUGGGGACAGGUUCUAACGUCCUGUGACAGGACGGGGACAGGUUCUAACGUCCUGUGACAGGAUGGGGACAGGUUCUAACGCCCUGUGAGAUAAGAACAGGGCCUAUCUUCUGCCUCCUGAACUCCA